ACCCACUGCUCUGCAAUGGCCCCCAGAGCCUCCCUUUACACAGCAGGACAAAGCUCCCCUGAAGCCUUGGCAAACAUAAAAAUUAGGUGUCUUUGCCUUGGAUGCCCAUGCCUUCUGUAAGAGGAGAAGAGAAAGGUUUCCAUCACUUUGCUCACCUUGUUAAGAAAAAAGCUCAAGCAAGAUGUCUUAACAUUUCCUGUGUUCCUGAGAGUGAAUGCCCAGACACAAACAAGGACUUUUUACUCCAAAUCCAUAAAUCACCGCUGUGUUCCACAGAAGUUCUGAGCUGGGUAUCUGACUGCAAUAUUUAUCACACAUCACACCUUAGGGCCUAGUAUGGACUUUGGUAAGUGGACUCUGCAGGCCCCAUAAAGCCUGGUGAAGGAAUAACUGAAGCAGAAACAUCUGCUCACCCUAACUUAAGAGACUCUCAAGUAAAUCAUUACUUAAGCAAAGUUCAUUUUGGGGAGAGAUCACUUCAGAUGGAGAAAAUGUGAUUUUCUAUGCUGACUUGGGUGCCUGUGGGGCUGGAAUGACAUGGUGCAAGCAUUAAUCUUCUGGAUGUAGAACUAUUUCAGCAUCCACAAAAGUUCCCUUGCCCUGACCAAGUGCCAAAUUCCCAUUUGAAACAGUCUCAUUGCUGGACCUGUACACAAGGAAACACUUCAAGGUUCAUUUGGGAAAUGGUUUUGCUUGGGUUAAUGGCUUUGCCAGGAGACUGACUCUUCUGCUUUGGAUUGAUUCACCCCCAAGAGGCUGUGGAGUCCAAGAGGGCUGCCCCAGAGCUUGGGCACUGCAGUGAGCUGUAUGGUGACAGGAACAGGGCCUGCAGGUACACUGGUGGCUGAGCUUUGUGCCACCUCCUCCAGAGUCGCCACAAAGCAGGAGCAGAAAAGGCAGAUGGAUGACAGUACCCCUGUUAGUGACCAGCACUAUCUCUCCUAAAUUCCACAUCUAGAACAACAGCCUCAGCUAGCUGUAAGGUCAUUAGGGAAAAGGAGACUGAAGCAGUCUGGAUUUCUCUAUGGGGUGAGCCCCAAAUUCUGGCCCUGGUCGCUGCAUCGUGGCAGAUGCUCCACUCUGGAGCAGUCAUCAGAAAACAGGGGCAUCUAGUGGCUGCGUCAGA